rnacentral:lncRNA from 1 species
CUCACUUGGGGGAUGCUGUACCUCUGUCCUUCUUGCUUCCCAUAUGGCUCAUUGACUGGCAUGAACUCACCAGCCAUUGUUUCUUGUGUAGAAGGUGUUUCAUUGGAAGGACCUUGUAGAGCAUGUCCCCAGGAGCUGCCUUCCUAGCGGACUGGAGACUGGGUGUCCUCCAGGAGGGGUAAGUGUGAGAUGAUGCAGCAGACUACUACCUGAAGCAGAGAUGGCAAAGGCCAAGAAUUGAAUUUUGUGUGUGAUCACAGUCAUCUAACAAAUGACUAGUACCUUCUCGCACGUUCAGACAUUGCCCUCAUUGCAGAGAGGGUAAUCUCAACAGCUGUAUUCCUAUCUCUCUGUCACCAACUGAUAACUGAAAUGUACUCAAAUAGCUAGGCGAUGGCUUAGUAUAUUUGGGCACUUCCAAUCUUAUAAUGAAGAACAGCAGAGAGCUACACACAGAGAGCUCCUCUUCCUCCCUCCCUCCCACCCCCUUCUCUCUCCCUCUCCUUCCACUUACACCUGUUCCCAGUUCUUGUACCUUAUGGAAGCUCCAGGCUUACACAUUGCUAUACACUCUCUGUGUCUCCCCAUUAAUGCAUUUCUUCUGUGUAUAUAUGUACCUGUGUUCACAUUCUCCCGAUUUUUAAAGGCCACCGAUCAAUUUGAUUUGAGGACUACCCUUCAUGAUCUCAUUUUGCUUUAUAUCGCUGAGAUGAUCCAUUGUCCAGAAGAGUUCAGGAGGACACUGGGUGAUCUCCAUCAACUCUGAAAACACGGAGUCCUUCCUGAAAUACCUUCACAGUGAAAAGGACUACUUGUCAGAUGUCGAGGCCGGGAACCGGUUUGGAGAUUCUUGUGUGAUCGUUUGAGGGUGUAUGGACAUCCACAGAGUGUCACUGCUUAGCCAGUGUGGUCCAUCUUGUUAGACCAUGACUGUGCAUGCAUGGCCAGUCAGAAGCCUCUCAGGAGGUGACAUACAUGCUGGCAACACUGGGGAAUGGGCCACACAUGUCCUGGGUCACUCAUUCUCUUGACUUCCUUUACUAUGUUUUAUCUUUCAUCGUUCUAACAAAAUAUAUGAAUCUGGGUGCUGUACCUUCAGUGUAUCCAGUAGGCUUUGUCAGUAAGG